AGUGCUCCUGGUGAAGUACCUCUCUGCAGAUCCAGAAACUUCGGACUGCAAAAGAGGAGAAUGAAGUGACUGAAGUCUGAGACUGUGAACCAAAACCAGGCUUUUCUCCUUUUUAGUUGUUUUUGUCAGUAUUCUGUCGCAACAAGGGGAAGCUGUGUUUAAACUUUAUUGGGCAAGUCAAGGACUCGUUUUGGGCCUCAGGUUUCCCAACUAGAAAAUGGACCAAAUGCCCUGGAAGGCCCUCAGUUACGCCUUCCUGCAGUGCCUGGGAUCUGUCUCCCUCCUGAUUGCUAUCUUUGGCUGCCCUGCUGGGAUGUUUGGGGAAAUCAGCUAGACUGGACCUUUCUGGAAAAGCAGAUCCUGCCAUCCUGCAGAACUCAGGCCGUGUCACCUUGCUCUAGUCCAUCUUGGUCUGUGUUCUGCUGUUCUAGCAGGAUACACCGUACAGGUCUAUUGGCUGCCCAUCUGUGGAGACCAAGGGCAUGGGCUGGUCUCAGUGAAAAGUUCUGCUCUGCUACAGACACCCACCACGAUGUGCUGCCUCACUACAGGCCCAAAGCAAUGGGGUAAUCAGUCAUGAGUGGAACCUCCAAAACUGAGCUAAAACAAACCUCUCCUCUUUGGAUUGAACUCAGAACCUCACACUUGCCAGGCUGGUGCUUAUGCCACUGAGCUAAAUACCCACCCAGCCCUGCUGCUCUGACUUCUGCUCUCUAUUUUCCCCAUUUGAAAAAUGGAUACAACCAACCCUUCUCUUUCUACCUCUCAUUGGAGAUGGUGGGACUGCAAACCAAGAUCUAAUGAAGGGCUCUGAGACCUGGGCAGCGGAAGCUAUUCCCUUCCCACUCUGCAGCAGCUGAACCCACUUGGAAGGGCCCAUGGCCACCUCUGGCACUGCCUUCAUCUAGGCCAGCCAUCCUCACCAUGCA